GAGGCUCUUCAACAGCAGGUGAUCCGGCGGAGGGCGCGAGGUUGGGAGGGAGGACGACGGAGGGUGCGGGGGGACACGGACGCCGCCGGGCACCCCCACGCGCAUCGCGGCCCAAGCUGGGCUCUGGGAGCAGCCUCAUGACCGCUGCAAAGACGUGUUCUCAGCACAAAGAAAUCUAAAAACCACAAGAAAAUUGCAAACGCCACGAACACCUCCCCACCGAAAGCCACGAAACCCCCUCCAUGGACCACCACGAAACCCCAGUGGCUGAACACCUCGGAACCCCGACCACCAACCUCCUGGGGCCCCAGCAGCUUGAAUACCUCCUGCGCCCAGGAUUUCAC
rnacentral:lncRNA from 1 species